rnacentral:rRNA from 1 species
GACAGAGGGUGCAAACGUUGUUCGGAAUUACUGGGCGUAAAGCGUGUGUAGGCGGUCUCAUAAGUCGGGUGUGAAAGCCCCGGGCUCAACCUGGGAAGUGCACUCGAAACUGCAGAGCUCGAGUCCUGGAGAGGAAGGCGGAAUUCUCGGUGUAGAGGUGAAAUUCGUAGAUAUCGAGAGGAACACCGGUGGCGAAGGCGGCCUUCUGGACAGUGACUGACGCUGAGACGCGAAAGCGUGGGGAGCAAACAGG